rnacentral:rRNA from 1 species
UACGUAGGGGGCAAGCGUUGUCCGGAAUCAUUGGGCGUAAAGAGCGUGCAGGCGGCUUGGCAAGUCCGCUGUGAAAGUCCAGGGCUCAACCCUGGAAAGCCGGUGGAAACUGUCAAGCUUGAGUCCGGAAGAGGCGAGUGGAAUUCCUGGUGUAGCGGUGAAAUGCGCAGAUAUCAGGAGGAACACCGGUGGCGAAGGCAGCUCGCUGGGACGGUACUGACGCUGAGACGCGAAAGCGUGGGGAGCAAACGGG